rnacentral:rRNA from 1 species
GUGGGGAAUAUUGGACAAUGGGCGCAAGCCUGAUCCAGCCAUACCGCGUGGGUGAAGAAGGCCUUCGGGUUGUAAAGCCCUUUUGUUGGGAAAGAAAUCCUGUCGAUUAAUACUCGGUGGGGAUGACGGUACCCAAAGAAUAAGCACCGGCUAACUUCGUGCCAGCAGCCGCGGUAAUACGAAGGGUGCAAGCGUUACUCGGAAUUACUGGGCGUAAAGCGUGCGUAGGUGGUGGUUUAAGUCCGUUGUGAAAGCCCUGGGCUCAACCUGGGAAUUGCAGUGGAUACUGGAUCACUAGAGUGUGGUAGAGGGAUGCGGAAUUUCUGGUGUAGCAGUGAAAUGCGUAGAGAUCAGAAGGAACAUCCGUGGCGAAGGCGGCAUCCUGGGCCAACACUGACACCGAGGCACGAAAGCGUGGGGAGCAAACAGGAUUAGAUACCCCUGUAGUCC